rnacentral:lncRNA from 12 species
GUCCAAUCCCCCUGGAAAUCAUUGUUGGCUCACUCCGUGCUCUCUCCCGUUUCCCCUCCCUCAGUCCCUCCUCACCAACACGCCUCUUAAGCGCUUCUGAAGAUCUGAGAUGUUGCUGGGUUUAAGGAGGAAGCCUGCCCUCCGGGCCACCGACUCCCGGUGGUGGUGGCCGCAGCCGCGCGCAGGACUGCACCGUCGGAACCGAGCACUGAGGUCUUCCCCCACCUGGCCCAGGGAUUUGGAAAUGAGGCAGCUCCAGUUCCCUCCAGACUUACGCACAGUCGCCUCUAAGGUGUUUCUUCUAAGGGAUGGGCAGCACACAGCACACAGCACACAGAUGCAGCCUGGAAGGAAGAGGAAGUGGAAUCAGUGAAUGAUUGCUCCAUCUUACCCAUACUUGUGUGAGACAAUUUUGUUGUAGGUUCCAAAGGAAGCUCAUCAUGUCCCCAGUGGGUCUGAACCCCAGCCACUGAUGCUGGUAACCAGUUUAAUAAUCCACCCCCUCCCUUUCUUUGGCCUUUUCUCCAUUUCUGGUUUCAUUCUCUUGACUCUUUUCUGCUUUCUAGGAUCAUCUUUCAAAUAAACUAUCUAGACCCAAUCCUUGUCUCA